rnacentral:rRNA from 1 species
CCUACGGGUGGCAGCAGUGGGGAAUAUUGGACAAUGGGCGAAAGCCUGAUCCAGCCAUGCCGCGUGUGUGAAGAAGGCCUUCGGGUUGUAAAGCACUUUCAGUGGGGAAGAAAGCCUUGGGGCUAAUACCCUCGAGGAAGGACAUCACCCACAGAAGAAGCACCGGCUAACUCCGUGCCAGCAGCCGCGGUAAUACGGAGGGUGCGAGCGUUAAUCGGAAUUACUGGGCGUAAAGCGCGCGUAGGCGGUCUGAUAAGCCGGUUGUGAAAGCCCCGGGCUCAACCUGGGAACGGCAUCCGGAACUGUCAGGCUAGAGUGCAGGAGAGGAAGGUAGAAUUCCCGGUGUAGCGGUGAAAUGCGUAGAGAUCGGGAGGAAUACCAGUGGCGAAGGCGGCCUUCUGGACUGACACUGACGCUGAGGUGCGAAAGCGUGGGUAGCAAACAGGACUAGAUACCCUGGUAGUC